GAUGAACGCUGGCGGCGUGCCUAAUACAUGCAAGUCGAGCGAACAGACGAGGAGCUUGCUCCUCUGACGUUAGCGGCGGACGGGUGAGUAACACGUGGAUAACCUCCCUAUAAGACUGGGAUAACUUCGGGAAACCGGAGCUAAUACCGGAUAAUAUAUUGAACCGCAUGGUUCAAUAGUGAAAGACGGUUUUGCUGUCACUUAUAGAUGGAUCCGCGCCGCAUUAGCUAGUUGGUAAGGUAACGGCUUACCAAGGCAACGAUGCGUAGCCGACCUGAGGGGGUGAUCGGCCACAUUGGAACUGAGACACGGUCCAGACUCCUACGGGAGGCAGCAGUAGGGAAUCUUCCGCAAUGGGCGAAAGCCUGACGGAGCAACGCCGCGUGAGUGAUGAAGGUCUUCGGAUCGUAAAACUCUGUUAUUAGGGAAGAACAAAUGUGUAAGUAACUAUGCACGUCUUGACGGUACCUAAUCAGAAAGCCACGGCUAACUACGUG
rnacentral:rRNA from 1 species